GAUGAACGCUGGCGGCGUGCCUAAUACAUGCAAGUCGAGCGAACAGACGAGGAGCUUGCUCCUCUGACGUUAGCGGCGGACGGGUGAGUAACACGUGGAUAACCUACCUAUAAGACUGGGAUAACUUCGGGAAACCGGAGCUAAUACCGGAUAAUAUAUUGAACCGCAUGGUUCAAUAGUGAAAGACGGUUUUGCUGUCACUUAUAGAUGGAUCCGCGCCGCAUUAGCUAGUUGGUAAGGUAACGGCUUACCAAGGCAACGAUGCGUAGCCGACCUGAGAGGGUGCUCAGCCACACUGGAACUGAGACACGGUCCAGACUCCUACGGGAGGCAACAGUAGGGAAUCUUCCGCAAUGGGCGAAAGCCUGACGGAGCAACGCCGCGUGAGUGAUGAAGGUCUUCGGAUCGUAAAACUCUGUUAUUAGGGAAGAACAAAUGUGUAAGUAACUAUGCACGUCUUGACGGUACCUAAUCAGAAAGCCACGGCUAACUACGUG
rnacentral:rRNA from 1 species